AGAGAGCAGGAAAAAAUUCAUAUUGACUUGAAUGAGAUUCCGGGGGCUUCAUUUGCUCUACCUCCCGAAGUGAAUGUUGGUGGAGUGAGCUGUGAUGUGGUGAUUGCGGCAGCUGUUACUUAUAGUGGUUGAAGGUUAUUGAUGCAAAUGAGUGGUUGCUCCUUUCCAGCGAAGUACCCUCCAUGCUUUAUGACUUUUGUCAUCGUCCAGAUCAAAACUAUGAUUGUUGCUUGUGGUCGUGAACGGCUUGUUUGCCGGAGAUGUUAUCUAUUAUGUUUGCUGAAUGCUUUCUUAAAGACUUAUGUAAUCUUAAGUAAUUACUCAUGAUGCUAUGGAGUAGUAUGAUGCUGUGUGACA